GGCCGGUGGAGGACCUGCUCGCCUCCGCCACGUGAAGCCGAGGCGAGCAGAGGACCCUUCGGCCGCCUGCCCUCCGUCUCCGAGCUCGUGCACCUUCUCCGUCAUCCCAGACGACGUGGACGUUGACAGGGAGGGUGACCGGUCACUGUGUCCUGAAGGCAGUUUGCAGGCUCCCGGGAGCCCCACCUUUGCUUCUGCUGCCCCACUGGCUGGGAGUUUCCAGGUCAGCGCUAAGGCCUGGCCCGGGCCUCCCCUGGGGAGCUCUCCGGACGGACCUGCCUUCCGUUCACGGAGCCGGGUCCCGCGGGUGCCCACUUCAGGGCCUGACCGCCCACGCCUGUACCUGGCUACCUAGAAGGCCUGGUUUUGUGCCCCUGUAGGACCUGCUACAAUGAUAACAGCAUCUGCUGGUCCAGGGACCUGGGUUCCAGUUCUGCUGUCCCAUUCACUGCUGCUGGGCAGUCCCUCCUCCCCUCUGGGCCCCCGGUUUCCUCCCGUGUAAAAGGAGAGGGCUGGACAAUGUGAGGAAUGCGCAUUGAACACCAAGGAGGAGCCAGACAUCGUGAUAAGUAUUGAGGAUAUAGGUGAGCGACACAGCCCCGAGCCCCAAGCUUACUGUAUAAGGGAGGAAAAUGCCGCACAAUGACAAACGCCUAAUUACACAUCUCCUUUAAGAAGUGGUAAGACAGGGCCCUCUCGGUGGAGGAUUUAAGACAGCCUGGGGUGGGCUUCCUAAGGCUUGAAGGAAUGGCACUGACUGGGACAGGUAGUCGGUGGCCUGGCGAAGAGUGGGGAAUAGCAAGUGCAAAGAUAGGGAAGGUGAAAUGCACUUUUUUUUCCCCCAUUGUAACUGGAUGUCCUAAUAACCCUCAAAGUAUAGGAACCAGAGGAGUGGACGCUCCAGUGGGUUAAAUUGAGUAGAAAUUGGAGGGCUCUUUGGAAGCCCGUAACUAUUUGAGCACUCCUGUGAAAAUUCACCAUGGCCCCUGACCCCGUGCCCUGGUAUAAGUGUUCCAGAAGAUUGCUGCAUCAGACCUGAACAGUUCGUGGUUCCCGAUGCAUGCUGUGUGCUGUCUGUGAUCCGACUUUGAGGGCCACCUCGUGGCUGCUCCAGAAGGACUAAAAAUACCAAAGCUCUCUUGAAAGUGGCCCAUGUCUACCUCACGUUGAAUUAUCCCGUCUUGUUUGCAAAGAUAAGAAGAUGGAGACGUGGCUUUUAUGGGGACAGAGGAAAAAGGCUCAUCACUGUACCUUAAAGUGCAUGUGGAGGGGACGCUGUGUGGUGGUAGAGCUACUGGAGACGACCGAGGUGGCAGGCCCAGCUUUGCCUUACGUUAGCUGCGCAAACCUGGCAGGCAGCCAAACUCUCCAAGCAAGUCUGGUGUACAAACAGGGUGAAUUAAGUUCUCCUGACAUGGUAAAGUUCAGAAUGGGAAAACCAUCAAGAUCACUUCUAAACUAUAAAGCACUAUUCAACCAAGCCAAUGAACACCUGGCUCCCGCUGUUCCCUCAGAACUUUACUGUAUCUGUUCUUUCAAAUUACGGGGAGGAAGGAUUUGACAUACUUUAUUUGAAUUUGUAGCAAUAUUCCAAGUUGUUUUGUUGCAUAAAUAUUUUGAAUUCUUUCACUUUAA